AUGUGUAGUGGGAAUUAGGGGAGAAGAUUAAGGAAUUAGGGGGUUAUCGGGAUUUUAUUUUAUUUUUUACCUUAACCGAAUUUUGACUCUCUUUUCCAAAAAAAAAUUUAUGCCGUCUAUUCUUCUCCCUCUCCUCUUGCCUAAAUUCUCUUAGUUUUUCCAUCUUUUUCUUGUUUUUUUUCUUCCUACUUUUUCCCUAAUCCAUUUAUUUUCUUUCAUUUUCGCACACGGUUAAUGCUCGUUUAGUUUCGAUAAGUGUUUCUCUCCG
rnacentral:lncRNA from 1 species